rnacentral:rRNA from 1 species
GGCUCAGGAUGAACGCUAGCGGCAGGCUUAACACAUGCAAGUCGAGGGUAUAGUUCUUCGGAAUUAGAGACCGGCGCACGGGUGCGUAACGCGUAUGCAAUCUACCUUUCACAGAGGGAUAGCCCAGAGAAAUUUGGAUUAAUACCUCAUAGUAUAGCAGUUUCGCAUGAAACCACUAUUAAAGUCACAACGGUGAAAGAUGAGCAUGCGUCCCAUUAGCUAGUUGGUAAGGUAACGGCUUACCAAGGCAACGAUGGGUAGGGGUCCUGAGAGGGAGAUCCCCCACACUGGUACUGAGACACGGACCAGACUCCUACGGGAGGCAGCAGUGAGGAAUAUUGGACAAUGGGCGCAAGCCUGAUCCAGCCAUGCCGCGUGCAGGAUGACGGUCCUAUGGAUUGUAAACUGCUUUAUACAGGAAGAAACACUACUUCGUGAAGUAGCUUGACGGUACUGUGAGAAUAAGGAUCGGCUAACUCCGUG